GCCGGGGUGGCGGAACUGGUAGACGCGCCAGACUCAAAAUCUGGUAUGGGAAACCAUGUGAGAGUUCGAGUCUCUCUCCCGGCACCA
rnacentral:tRNA from 2 species